UACGUAGGGUGCGAGCGUUAAUCGGAUUUACUGGGCGUAAAGCGUGCGCAGGCGGCUUAUCAAGUCAGAUGUGAAAGCCCCGGGCUUAACCUGGGAAUGGCGUUCGAAACUGAUAGGCUUGAGUGUGUCAGAGGUAGGUAGAAUUCCACGUGUAGCGGUGAAAUGCGUAGAGAUGUGGAGGAAUACCGAUGGCGAAGGCAGCCUCCUGGGCUAACACUGACGCUCAGGCACGAAAGCGUGGGGAGCAAACAGG
rnacentral:rRNA from 1 species